rnacentral:rRNA from 1 species
UAAGUAGUAAAAAGUAGAAUAAUAGAUUUGAAAUAUUUAUUAUAUAGAUUUAAAGAGAUAAUCAUGGAGUAUAAUAAUUAAAUUUAAUAAAUUUAAUAUAACUAUUAAUAGAAUUAGGUUACUAAUAAAUUAAUAACAAUUAAUUUUAAAACCUAAAGGUAAACCUUUAUAUUAAUAAUGUUUUUUUUUAUUAUUUUUAUAAUAAGAAUAAUUAUUAAUAAUAAUAAACUAAGUGAACUGAAACAUCUAAGUAACUUAAGGAUAAGAAAUCAACAGAGAUAUUAUGAGUAUUGGUGAGAGAAAAUAAUAAAGGUCUAAUAAGUAUUAUGUGAAAAAAAUGUAAGAAAAUAGGAUAACAAAUUCUAAGACUAAAUACUAUUAAUAAGUAUAGUAAGUACCGUAAGGGAAAGUAUGAAAAUGAUUAUUUUAUAAGCAAUCAUGAAUAUAUUAUAUUAUAUUAAUGAUGUACCUUUUGUAUAAUGGGUCAGCAAGUAAUUAAUAUUAGUAAAACAAUAAGUUAUAAAUAAAUAGAAUAAUAUAUAUAUAUAUAAAAAUAUAUUAAAAUAUUUAAUUAAUAUUAAUUGACCCGAAAGCAAACGAUCUAACUAUGAUAAGAUGGAUAAACGAUCGAACAGGUUGAUGUUGCAAUAUCAUCUGAUUAAUUGUGGUUAGUAGUGAAAGACAAAUCUGGUUUGCAGAUAGCUGGUUUUCUAUGAAAUAUAUGUAAGUAUAGCCUUUAUAAAUAAUAAUUAUUAUAUAAUAUUAUAUUAAUAUUAUAUAAAGAAUGGUACAGCAAUUAAUAUAUAUUAGGGAACUAUUAAAGUUUUAUUAAUAAUAUUAAAUCUCGAAAUAUUUAAUUAUAUAUAAUAAAGAGUCAGAUUAUGUGCGAUAAGGUAAAUAAUCUAAAGGGAAACAGCCCAGAUUAAGAUAUAAAGUUCCUAAUAAAUAAUAAGUGAAAUAAAUAUUAAAAUAUUAUAAUAUAAUCAGUUAAUGGGUUUGACAAUAACCAUUUUUUAAUGAACAUGUAACAAUGCACUGAUUUAUAAUAAAUAAAAAAAUAAUAUUUAAAAUCAAAUAUAUAUAUAUUUGUUAAUAGAUAAUAUACGGAUCUUAAUAAUAAGAAUUAUUUAAUUCCUAAUAUGGAAUAUUAUAUUUUUAUAAUAAAAAUAUAAAUACUGAAUAUCUAAAUAUUAUUAUUACUUUUUUUUUUAAUAAUAAUAAUAUGGUAAUAGAACAUUUAAUGAUAAUAUAUAUUAGUUAUUAAUUAAUAUAUGUAUUAAUUAAAUAGAGAAUGCUGACAUGAGUAACGAAAAAAAGGUAUAAACCUUUUCACCUAAAACAUAAGGUUUAACUAUAAAAGUACGGCCCCUAAUUAAAUUAAUAAGAAUAUAAAUAUAUUUAAGAUGGGAUAAUCUAUAUUAAUAAAAAUUUAUCUUAAAAUAUAUAUAUUAUUAAUAAUUAUAUUAAUAAUAUAUAUANNNNNNNNNNUAAUAUAUAUAAUUAUAUUAUAUAUUAUAUAUUUUUUUUUAUAUAAUAUAAACUAAUAAAGAUCAGGAAAUAAUUAAUGUAUACCGUAAUGUAGACCGACUCAGGUAUGUAAGUAGAGAAUAUGAAGGUGAAUUAGAUAAUUAAAGGGAAGGAACUCGGCAAAGAUAGCUCAUAAGUUAGUCAAUAAAGAGUAAUAAGAACAAAGUUGUACAACUGUUUACUAAAAACACCGCACUUUGCAGAAACGAUAAGUUUAAGUAUAAGGUGUGAACUCUGCUCCAUGCUUAAUAUAUAAAUAAAAUUAUUUAACGAUAAUUUUAUUAAAUUUAGGUAAAUAGCAGCCUUAUUAUGAGGGUUAUAAUGUAGCGAAAUUCCUUGGCCUAUAAUUGAGGUCCCGCAUGAAUGACGUAAUGAUACAACAACUGUCUCCCCUUUAAGCUAAGUGAAAUUGAAAUCGUAGUGAAGAUGCUAUGUACCUUCAGCAAGACGGAAAGACCCUAUGCAGCUUUACUGUAAUUAGAUAGAUCGAAUUAUUGUUUAUUAUAUUCAGCAUAUUAAGUAAUCCUAUUAUUAGGUAAUCGUUUAGAUAUUAAUGAGAUACUUAUUAUAAUAUAAUGAUAAUUCUAAUCUUAUAAAUAAUUAUUAUUAUUAUUAUUAAUAAUAAUAAUAUGCUUUCAAGCAUAGUGAUAAAACAUAUUUAUAUGAUAAUCACUUUACUUAAUAGAUAUAAUUCUUAAGUAAUAUAUAAUAUAUAUUAUAUAUAUAUUAUAUAUAAUAUAAGAGACAAUCUCUAAUUGGUAGUUUUGAUGGGGCGUCAUUAUCAGCAAAAGUAUCUGAAUAAGUCCAUAAAUAAAUAUAUAAAAUUAUUGAAUAAAAAAAAUAAUAUAUAUUAUAUAUAUUAAUUAUAAAUUGAAAUAUGUUUAUAUAAAUUUAUAUUUAUUGAAUAUAUUUUAGUAAUAGAUAAAAAUAUGUACAGUAAAAUUGUAAGGAAAACAAUAAUAACUUUCUCCUCUCUCGGUGGGGGUUCACACCUAUUUUUAAUAGGUGUUCACCCCUCUUCGGGGUUCCGGUUCCCUUUCGGGUCCCGGAACUUAAAAAUAAUUAUGGAAAGAAUUAAAUUAAUAUAAUGGUAUAACUGUGCGAUAAUUGUAACACAAACGAGUGAAACAAGUACGUAAGUAUGGCAUAAUGAACAAAUAACACUGAUUGUAAAGGUUAUUGAUAACGAAUAAAAGUUACGCUAGGGAUAACAGGGUAAUAUAACGAAAGAGUAGAUAUUGUAAGUUAUGUUUGCCACCUCGAUGUCGACUCAACAUUUCCUCUUGGUUGUAAAAGCUAAGAAGGGUUUGACUGUUCGUCAAUUAAAAUGUUACGUGAGUUGGGUUAAAUACGAUGUGAAUCAGUAUGGUUCCUAUCUGCUGAAGGAAAUAUUAUCAAAUUAAAUCUCAUUAUUAGUACGCAAGGACCAUAAUGAAUCAACCCAUGGUGUAUCUAUUGAUAAUAAUAUAAUAUAUUUAAUAAAAAUAAUACUUUAUUAAUAUAUUAUCUAUAUUAGUUUAUAUUUUAAUUAUAUAUUAUCAUAGUAGAUAAGCUAAGUUGAUAAUAAAUAAAUAUUGAAUACAUAUUAAAUAUGAAGUUGUUUUAAUAAGAUAAUUAAUCUGAUAAUUUUAUACUAAAAUUAAUAAUUAUAGGUUUUAUAUAU